UGGGGAAUAUUGCACAAUGGGGGAAACCCUGAUGCAGCAACGCCGCGUGAACGAAGACGGCCUUCGGGUUGUAAAGUUCUUUGAUUAGGGAAGAAAAUGACAGUACCUAAAGAACAAGCCACGGCUAACUACGUGCCAGCAGCCGCGGUAAUACGUAGGUGGCGAGCGUUGUCCGGAUUUACUGGGCGUAAAGGAUGCGUAGGUGGAAACUUAAGUGAGAUGUGAAAUCCCCGGGCUUAACCUGGGAACUGCAUUUCAAACUGGGUAUCUUGAGUGCAGGAGAGGAAAGCGGAAUUCCUAGUGUAGCGGUGAAAUGCGUAGAUAUUAGGAAGAACACCGGUGGCGAAGGCGGCUUUCUGGACUGUAACUGACACUGAGGCAUGAAAGCGUGGGGAGCAAACAGG
rnacentral:rRNA from 1 species